UGCCCCAUGGCUGAGUUGGUUACAGCGUCCGACUGUUAUUCACGCUAGUAAGACAUCGGAAGGUCGUGAGUUCGAGCCUCACUGGGGCAG